GUACAUUUGCUUUUUAAAAUAAUAAAUUGUAAAACAUCUUUUCUUAUCAGAUUAAUACCAGAUAAAUCUUCUAUGUGAAGACAAUAUAUUAAAAGGAGUUUUGAAACAUGGAGAUGUGGUAGGAGCUUACUCUCUUCACUCUACACAUCAAUUUCAGUAUUGAAGGACUUCUGGAAAUGGUUUAUUCUCC
ensembl:snRNA U2 U2 spliceosomal RNA